rnacentral:rRNA from 1 species
UUGGAGGGCAAGUCUGGUGCCAGCAGCCGCGGUAAUUCCAGCUCCAAUAGCGUAUAUUAAAGUUGUUGCAGUUAAAAAGCUCGUAGUUGAAUUUCGGGGUUCUACCGUUGGUCGGGCUUUGCCUGUACUGGUGUGUAGAAUUUCUACCUUCUGGGGAACCAUCAUGCUAUUAAUUUAGCGUGGUGGGAAACCAGGACCUUUACCUUGAAAAAAUUAGUGUGUUCGAAGCAGGCUUAUGUCUGAAUACAUUAGCGUGGAAUAAUAGAAUAGGACGGUGGUCCUGUUUUGUUGGUUUCUGAAUCACCGUAAUGAUUAAUAGGGAUAGUUGGGGGCAUUAGUAUUCAAUUGUCAGAGGUGAAAUUCUUGGAUUUAUUGAAGACUAACUUCUGCGAAAGCAUUUGCCAAGGAUGUUUUCAUUAAUCAAGAACGAAAGUUAGGGGAUCGAAGACGAUCAGAUACCGUCGUAGUCUUAACCAUAAACUAUGCCGACUAGGGAUCGGACGAUGUUAAUUUUUCUUGACUCGUUCGGCGCCUUACGGGAAAC